AACCCAAUGUAAGGGCCCGUAAAAAGGCCCCUACGUCUUUAUCACCAACUCUGUAUUCAUAGAAUGUAAUCCAUAUCUUCGCCUUAACAAGCGUUGGUAAAACUUAUACAACUUUCAACAACGGAUCUCUUGGCUCUCGCAUCGAUGAAGAACGCAGCGAAAUGCGAUAAGUAAUGUGAAUUGCAGAUUUUCAGUGAAUCAUCGAAUCUUUGAACGCACCUUGCGCCCCUUGGUAUUCCGAGGGGCAUGCCUGUUUGAGUGUCAUUAAAUUCUCAACUCCGAUUUGAUUUGUUUCUUAUCGGAGCUUGGACUUUGGAGCGUGCUGGCGUAAGGUCGGCUCCUCUUAAAUGUAUCAGCGGAAUCUAACCUUUGAAUUCUGGACAUCGGUGUGAUAAUAAAAGUUGCGCCGUCGUUCUACUUCAAAGUCCGCUUACAAUGGUCUUUUGACAAACUCUUAUCAAAUUUGACCUCAAAUCACGUAGGACUACCCGCUGAA
rnacentral:rRNA from 1 species